rfam:Eucalyptus grandis cultivar BRASTZ1 unplaced genomic scaffold scaffold_5, whole genome shotgun sequence.
UUUUGACAUAACAGUGCAAUUCUCCUUUGGCAGAAUAGAGGCAUUGUAUGCAAAGGUCUUGAAUAGCUUCUGUUCCGCCAAAGGAGAAUUGCCCUGUGAUUCAGAC